AACGAACGCUGGCGGCAGGCUUAACACAUGCAAGUCGAACGCCCCGCAAGGGGAGUGGCCGACGGGUGAGUAACGCGUGGGAACAUACCCUUUUCUACGGAAUAGCUCUGGGAAACUGGAAUUAAUACCGUAUACGCCCUACGGGGGAAAGAUUUAUCGGGGAAGGAUUGGCCCGCGUUGGAUUAGCUAGUUGGUGGGGUAAAGGCCUACCAAGGCGACGAUCCAUAGCUGGUCUGAGAGGAUGAUCAGCCACAUUGGGACUGAGACACGGCCCAAACUCCUACGGGAAGCAGCAGUGGGGAAUAUUGGACAAUGGGCGCAAGCCUGAUCCAGCCAUGCCGCGUGAGUGAUGAAGGCCUUAGGGUUGUAAAGCUCUUUCACCGAUGAAGAUAAUGACGGUAGUCGGAGAAGAAGCCCCGGCUAACUUCGUG
rnacentral:rRNA from 1 species